rnacentral:misc_RNA from 1 species
UCGAGUAUGGGUCCAUUUGGGCCCCAUCUCCAACCCUGUGUCUACUUACCACGUUGCUUCGGCGGGCCCGUUGGGAAACCAACCGCCGGGGGUUUACCCUCUGGCCCGUGCCCGUCGAUGGCCCACCUAUUAAAAUUCUUGAUGAAAUGUGUCCUCUUAGUACCAAAACAAAAAUAAGCAA